AAAGCGAUCCGCUGAACAAUGCAAGCCCACCACAACGAAAAUGUGCCUUGAUAUCAUGGCCGUCUUUAAUGAUCGCAGAAGAGUUGCCAUUUUCAAAUCAACAUCCGCAACCAAACCUUUAAAUUAUUUCAACCACUCGUCGACUGAAGAGGCCAUCUUUGAAUUAAGUCGAUAUUUGCCAUUGCUUAGCACUUUGAGAGAAUUUAACCGAGCUUGCUUUGACGCCAUGACAGUUUUAUUAUGUCAUCUUCAUUUACCAGCUUGCCCACGAUUAACUCUCUCUGUCAGUUACUGUCAGAGAUUUAUGAGAGCUUGCUCUUCGCGGCCUUCCUUUCAUCCGACAAACUAUGGAACCACGUUACCUCUUAUAUCCGCAAGUAAAUUGUAGUGAUGAGAAUUGGUUUUCUGUCAACAGUACUUCGAUACAAACCUACACAAUACCACGUUUUGCAAACUAUCCUGCUCCACCACCAAAUAAUCCCAUGAUAUCCUCGACGUCCUCCAACGCUUUAACUGUCAGCUACUCGCCACCUCCAAUUCUUUCUCGGAAUGUUGCAGUCUGCGUGUUGUAUCGACAAAAUUCAU